rnacentral:rRNA from 1 species
GACGAACGCUGGCGGCGUGCUUAACACAUUCCAGUCGAACGGAAAGGCCCUGCUUUUGUGGGGUGCUCGAGUGGCGAACGGGUGAGUAACACGUGAGUAACCUGCCCUUGACUUUGGGAUAACUUCAGGAAACUGGGGCUAAUACCGGAUAGGAGCUCCUGCUGCAUGGUGGGGGUUGGAAAGUUUCGGCGGUUGGGGAUGGACUCGCGGCUUAUCAGCUUGUUGGUGGGGUAGUGGCUUACCAAGGCUUUGACGGGUAGCCGGCCUGAGAGGGUGACCGGCCACAUUGGGACUGAGAUACGGCCCAGACUCCUACGGGAGGCAGCAGUGGGGAAUAUUGCACAAUGGGCGGAAGCCUGAUGCAGCAACGCCGCGUGCGGGAUGACGGCCUUCGGGUUGUAAACCGCUUUCGCCUGUGACGAAGCGUGAGUGACGGUAAUGGGUAAAGAAGCACCGGCUAACUACGUG